CCUGCACAUGACAAGAUGUUUUACCAUGCCUCUGGCAGCAGCUUGAAUUUUUAGCUCUCGUUCUGAUAGCUCCAUUUCUGUAUUCCACUGGGCUGGGCACCACAGGCAGGAACAAUGAGCUGACUGAUACCUGCAAGAUGCCUCUUCUGUGCUCAAGGAAGACCUCAAAGAAUAGCUGUUUAGGAAACAGUGGGAGAGAGCAGACUUUGAAAACAUGGAAGAACCCUACUGUGAGCAUCUUUCUUGAUGGAUCCAGGGCUGUAUUUACAGCACAGAAAUUAAAAUA